rnacentral:rRNA from 1 species
UUCAUCCACACACACCUUUGUGCACUAUGGGGACGUCACGUCCCCCUUUUUCAUACCAAACACCUAGUUUACAUGCAUGUCUUUCAUAUACUCUAAGGAGUAAAUGUACAACUUUCAACAACGGAUCUCUUGGCUUUCGCAUCGAUGAAGAACGCAGCGAACGUGCGAAACGUAAUGUGAAUUGCAGAAUUCAGUGAAUCAUCGAAUCUUUGAACGCAUCUUGCGCUCCUUGGUAUUCCGAGGAGCAUGCCUGUUUGAGUGUCGUGAAAUACUCUCAAUUUCAAUCCUUUUGUUGGGUUUUGAAAUUGGAUUUGGGUGUUGUUGUGUUCACAACUCAUCCUAAAUGCAUUAGCGAUCUGCCUUUGAUCACACACAAUGUGAUAAGAAAAAGCAUUGUUAACAUCAAGUCAGGGUUGCUUCAAACCGUCCUUACGGACAAUCAUUCUAUGUCAUUUGACCUCAGAUCAGGCAGGACUACCCGCUGAACUUAAGCAUAUCAAUAAGCGGAGGAANAUCAUUACUGAAGAUAAUAGGAUUUUGAGACUGCGUCCAUUUGCGUGUGCUCGAUCCUUACUCUUUCAUCCACACACACCUUUGUGCACUAUGGGGACGUCACGUCCCCUUUUUCAUACCAAACACCUAGUUUACAUGCAUGUCUUUCAUAUACUCUAAAGAGUAAAUGUCACUUUCACAACGGAUCUCUUGGCUUUCGCAUCGAUGAAGAACGCAGCGAAGUGCGAAAGUAAUGUGAAUUGCAGAAUUCAGUGUAUCAUCGAAUCUUUUGAACGCAUCUUGCGCUCUUGGGUAUUCGAGGAGCAUGCCU